UCGGGAAUUUUGGGCAAUGGGCGAAAGCCUGACCCAGCAACGCCGCGUGAAGGAUGAAGUAUUUCGGUAUGUAAACUUCGAAAGAAUAGGAAGAAUAAAUGACGGUACUAUUUAUAAGGUCCGGCUAACUACGUGCCAGCAGCCGCGGUAAUACGUAGGGACCAAGCGUUGUUCGGAUUUACUGGGCGUAAAGGGCGCGUAGGCGGUGUGUCAAGUCAGUUGUGAAAUCUCCGAGCUUAACUCGGAACGGUCAACUGAUACUGUCACACUAGAGUACAGAAGGGGCAAUCGGAAUUCUUGGUGUAGCGGUGAAAUGCGUAGAUAUCAAGAGGAACACCUGAGGCGAAGGCGGGUUGCUGGGCUGAUACUGACGCUGAGGCGCGAAAGCUAGGGUAGCAAACGGGAUUAGAUACCCAAGUAGUCCCUGAGCGGGCUGGCAAGGCGCAU
rnacentral:rRNA from 1 species